UCCAGGCCCGCCCCACCCCGCGGGGGCCCGCCCCCUCCCUACUCAGCUGCCAGAGAAGCGCUCAACUCUUCAAAGAUCGCCCCGCAUCUCGGACGCUGCUUUCUCAAGUACCAGUCAGUCCAGAGAAAAAGUGUGCAUGGAGAAGAGGGAGCAAGAGAAAAUCCCAAGCAGGCUCCACACUCAGCAACGAGCCCGACGCGGGGCUCGAUCCCAUGACCCUGGAAUCACGACCUGAGCCGAAAUCAAGAGCCAGACAUCCAACUGACUGAGCCAGCCAGGUGCCUCUUAUCCUCUCUCAUCUUGACUGUUAACCGCCUUUACUACUGGCUCACCCAACUGUAGAAACCUCUCCCUCUGCCUUAUGCAUCCUUGCUUUCGCUCUUUCCCCCUUUGUGGUCCAGCUACUUGAAAAUGAGGUGUACUUGCACUCUCCAAGUCCUCUCCACUCCCUCCCUGUUCUCUGCAGCAUUGACCACGAGGUCCUCAUUAAAGCUCCCUUCCCCGAGGCCCAGCACAGACUCUCAUUUUCCUCCUAGUUCUCUGUCUUCUUUGCAGGGCCCUCCUUUCCAGGAUCCUUAAAGGCUGCUUCCUGCUUUACACCCCUUUUUCCUGGAAACUCUCACCCAAUCACAUGGCUUCUGUUAUAACCUGUACGAAUAACUUUACCUCCAGGCCAAAUCUCUCCUCUGUGAGCCACAUGCACGGGCCCAACUGCACUCUGGGUAACUUUACCUGGACAUGCCUCAAAUUCCACACCUUCCAAAAUGUACCUAAUUUUCUUCUUCCCCUGCCCAAAUAUAUCCUUAUUCCUGCACAUCCUAA